CAGACCAGCCAAACCUCCGAGGCCCCACUUGGCCAGUGUGGUUAGAGUGCGACACCGCUGCAGGGACUUGACCUCAGAUAACUUAUUGGGUCUCAGCCGGUUCAAGUGACCCAGGCCUAGCUCACUCCACCAAUCCCAUUCGGGAAGGGGACAAUUGACUGAAGUCACUGCUGCCCCUUGUACUUGCCAGUCCUGCCAGGUCCCAGAACGUCAUCUGCCAGAACCCCCUAUUUAUGAAAUGACUCCACUCCCGUCACUCCCCACAGGUCGAUGUAGGUUCCCCGCCAACUCAGCUCUCCUUUCAGCUCGCUGACCCUCCAACUCAAUAUAACGUCGCCUCCAGUGAGUCCAAGCAGCUGGACCUCCGAAGGCUUGGCAAGUCACGGCGGGAUCCCGGCAAGUCACAGCGAGGCCCCGGCAAGUCACGGCGGAACCCCGGCCAGUGGCGCUGGAAGCUUUGCAAGGUGUGGUGGGGACCCGGCAAUGCGUGGCGGGGACCCGGCAAGCCCUCUCGGGGACCCAGCAAGGUGCAGCCGGACUCAGCAGGACGCAGCGAGACCCUGGCAGGACGCGGCAGGACCUCGGCAAGUCACAGCAUCAGCCAGUCACAGCAGGACCUCAGAUGGUUGGCAAGUCACCUUAAUUUCUUCUUGGGACGAGAGAAUUCAUCUCCCUCUGUUUGGGGCUCCCCACUCUGUAUUAUGUUGAAUUCUAAGUUGACUAUCUCAGGGAGCUUCCUUAGCCAGUUCUUAUCUAUCCGCCUUCUUUGCUCCAGGAUCUGCCUCAGCUCUUUAACCUGAUUUUCAUUUUCCCUAGACCGCAUUGAAUCCUGAAUUUACCUAAAACAUAGUGGAUGGCUUUGCUAAGCCUCCUCUGAUGGUUACUGCCUCACAUUGGCCAUUGGAAGGUUAGAUCAGGGAUCUGGGUUCAACACACCCACAAUGAGGCCAGAAUUCCCAUGGCUAGCUGCCAGCAUCUCCCAUUUGAAUGGGACACACGUGUCCACCUGCUAGGGGGAACACACAGGAUAGUCCCAUUAGGUGGUAUGGACAGUCCUGCAUGCCUUGCAGCACUUCAUGCCAGUGGGAAUGUGUUAAGCCCCAACAAUACAUGCCCACGUGUGCAUCUGGAAGUCAGGCAUUUGAGUCAGCAGGCAUUUUUCAGAAGGACCUGAUGGAUGGGAUCAGCUUCCUUGACAGCUCAGGGUGGAAGCCAUGCUCCACGGUCCUGAAGCAAGUCUUAGCCUCUGCAAUGGGGCAAGGAGGGACAUGACUCCUGCUUCCCCAUCCCUCUUGCAUGAUCCUGUGUCUCUGUGGAGUCCCCAGUCCACAGGGAUCCUUGCAUGUGACUUUCAGCUAGAGCAGGAAGCUGAAGACCGCAAGAAGGUGCACGCUGAACUCAGCGAGGAAAUCAGGUCCUUAGAGAUCACUCAGAGGCAUCUGGAAGCUGCUCUGGCUCAUAAGCCUGCAAGACCGUUAGAGUCAUGAAAAUGCCAAACCGAUGGAUUACGUGGUGCCUUCUCGAGAACCUCCUUGGACCACCCUUGACCAAGGGUGGAUUUGGACCUCCUGUCACAAAUGGCCUCUAACCAUGCUCUGGGGAGGGCUCUUCCCCUACCUAGCACCCUUCCUGGGGCCCCUAGCUGCCUUGUUGCUUCUCCUCUCUGUGGGUCCUUGUAUUUUUCAGAGGAUUACGGUGCUCAUUAAUAACCGGAUAGACGCGUUCAUGGCAAAGCCCAUUCAGGUACACUAUCAGCAGCUGGAGAUGGCAGAUCAAAAAACCUACCGGGAAAGAAUUCCCAUGAGUGGCCCAUAUGACGAUGUGGCCUGACUGCUCUGAGACAAUGGACAGACAGCCAGAGACGGGCAACUAGGACAUACAUGCCACACCACCGGUCACCUAAGACAGGCACAGGGCCAACUGCUGUCCUGCAAGCCCAUGAUGGGUAAGGCCCGGUUGGGUUCAUGUAAAGAGGUCCUUGACCUAAGACAGGCGCUGUCCUCACAGGGCCUGCCAUACUCCUGAUUAAAA